CCUACGGGUGGCAGCAGUGAGGAAUAUUGGUCAAUGGACGGAAGUCUGAACCAGCCAUGCCGCGUGCAGGAUGACGGCUCUAUGAGUUGUAAACUGCUUUUGUAUUAGGGUAAACACCCCUACGUGUAGGGGCUUGAAAGUAUAAUACGAAUAAGGAUCGGCUAACUCCGUGCCAGCAGCCGCGGUAAUACGGAGGAUGCGAGCGUUAUCCGGAUUUAUUGGGUUUAAAGGGUGCGUAGGCGGUCCGGAAAGUCAGCGGUAAAAGCCCGGGGCUCAACCCCGGCGAGCCGUUGAAACUGUCGGACUAGAGACGGCGAGAAGUACGCGGAAUGCGCGGUGUAGCGGUGAAAUGCAUAGAUAUCGCGCAGAACUCCGAUUGCGAAGGCAGCGUACCGGCGCCGGACUGACGCUGAGGCACGAAAGCGUGGGUAUCGAACAGGAUUAGAUACCCGAGUAGUC
rnacentral:rRNA from 1 species